rnacentral:lncRNA from 1 species
AUAAAUUGGAGAUAAAUGGUGUUAAUAGUCCAAUAAGAUAAAUGCUUGUCUUUUAAAGCUGAAUUCCAGAAGAAAUUGCAACAUAGGAACUGACACAUUUUUCUUCUAUGCCAGAAGAACACACUAUCUGGUAUAUGAUUGAAGACUGGUGUAUGAUAGCCUGAACAAUAUUGAGAUGACACUAUUUAAUUCCUAAAGCCUGGGACUGCCAGAACAAAAAUAAUCUACAUCCAGCAGGCAGCCUCUCAGAACUGGCUGGUUCUACCAGAGAUCACGAAAUUCAAGUCACUCCCCUCAGGCAAUGCUCCUUGAUACACAGGAUCAUGACUUGCUCCCUUCCAAUGGCGACAGGUCCCAACAGGUCACCAAGCAGCCAAGGGAGCUGGUCUAAGCCUGAGGCUGCUGGCAGUCAUCUUGUGGAAUCCAAAUGGAAUCAAUGGGAACAUCAGAGAACAUUUUCUACUCCCCAGUCUGAAUACAACAAUCUCUCCACUGGCGCCAAGAAACACAGAGCUCCGUGGGCGAAAUACCCUGCCUGGGGCUCUUAUUCUGAAGAAAAGCUCAAAGAUCAAUUGUCUAAAGCUCUCAGUGCCAUUCGCUUGUACGAAAGUGCCAAAAUCUGGAGAGACAUGGCAUUUUGAGUUAUGGGACCAACUACCCAAAGAAGGCAGAUUUCAACGGGAGCUAUAGCUGUGAAUUCUGACAUCUGUUCGCUAGUGAUUAAUGACAUCAGGGAAAACAAGCCAGCAGGCACUGAUGUUAAGAGAGAAAGCUAUUUUAAACACCCCCAUUCUAAUUAAAUAUUUCUUCUUAUAACACUCGGAACCUAAAAAUAGGUUUGAUCUGUCCAUUGGGGGCCACUUUGAGUUGACAGGAGAAGUUUAAUUAGAUUGCCUCAAACAGGAAUGUUAUUCUCCAAGGUUUUUGAUACUGCCGGUAACUCUGGGGCUGAGGUCUGGGGGGUGUGUGUGUGUGAGUGUGUGUGUGUGUGUGUGUGUGUGUGUGUGUGCGUGCGCGCAUAGUGGGUGCCUAGUAAAGUAGAAGGUAGUAUUUUCUGACAUCAGAGGAGGCUAGAAGGAAGGCAUGUGUGUGCUUGGUGUAUUAGGUCUUUAACAAUCUAGCAGUAAGGGAUAAUAAAUAUAUUUAACCCUUUAAUAUGGAAAAAGUU